ACAAGAACAUCUCCUGAUAGGAAUUGAUGUUCACCUAUUCAACCCUGAUUCUAACAUGGCAAAGGUCUAAGUGUUACAGCAAGAUGUCGAGUCCAUCUCAUCUCCUCCCGAGCCCCUCAGUUAUGGAGGGGAAUUCCUUAGUAGAGACACAAGCAACCCAUUCAUGGCAGUUUAUUCUUAUCACAUCCAUCACAAUGAGAAAAUUAACUGAAGAUAGAGUUAGUAGCCACAGUUAUUGGGUGGACUAAACAUCCUAUUGAGCAAUCAGUGUUUGUAUUCCUUUUUCUUUUCUUUCUUUCUUUCUUUCCUUUUU